rnacentral:rRNA from 1 species
CGGCUAAAAGUCCGGCGCGCUUCAGCGUUGGAUCGGGGUGUUCGCUGCCCAAAUACACCACAGCCUGUCUUAUAACGCAUGUAAACCGCCCCAUGGGGUAACAAAAGUUAAUACAACUUUCAACAACGGAUCUCUUGGCUUUCGCAUCGAUGAAGAACGCCGCGAAAGUGCGAAACGUAAUGUGAAUUGCAGAA